rnacentral:rRNA from 1 species
GAGUUUGAUCGUGGCUCAGAUUGAACGCUGGCGGCAGGCUUAACACAUGCAAGUCGAACGGUAGCAGGAGAAAGCUUGCUUUCUUGCUGACGAGUGGCGGACGGGUGAGUAAUGCUUGGGAAUCUGGCUUAUGGAGGGGGAUAACUACGGGAAACUGUAGCUAAUACCGCGUAAUGUCUAAGGACUAAAGGGUGGGACCUAUUGGCCACCUGCCAUAAGAUGAGCCCAAGUGGGAUUAGGUAGUUGGUGGGGUAAAGGCCUACCAAGCCGACGAUCUCUAGCUGGUCUGAGAGGAUGACCAGCCACACUGGAACUGAGACACGGUCCAGACUCCUACGGGAGGCAG